ACACAAGUGCCUCUCUCACUUCCUCCCACAUUUUCAUCAUCUCAAAACAAGCAAAACAAAUUCAUUCAUUCAUGGCCAAGGCCCCAAUUAGGGUUUUUUCUUUGGUGGUUUUGUGGUUGAUGGUGCUGGGUGGGGUGGUUUGGGGCCAAGAUGUGAACUUUUCAUCAGCGGCUGCAGCAGCAGCAGCACCACAAGGUCAAGUGGGUGGUGGUGUGAGGAGAGCAGAAAUGGUGCCUGCCAUGUUUGUGUUUGGAGACUCUUUGAUUGACAAUGGCAACAACAACAACAUCCCAUCAUUUGCCAAGGCUAACUAUUUCCCCUAUGGCAUUGAUUUCAAUGGUGGCCCUACCGGUUGUUUUUCCAAUGGUUACACCAUGGUUGAUGAAAUAGCUGAAUUGCUAGGACUUCCCUUGAUUCCUCCUUUUUCUGAGGCUUCUGGAGACCAAGUGCUUCAUGGAGUCAAUUAUGCAUCUGCAGCAGCUGGAAUCCUUGAUAUCACUGGCAGAAACUUUGUGGGAAGAAUACCUUUUGGUGAACAAAUAAGUAACUUCCAGAGUACCCUUGAUCAGAUUACAGACAAUCUCGGGGCAGAUGACGUGGCCCGGGCGAUUGCAAACUGCAUCUUCUUUGUUGGAAUGGGCAACAAUGACUACCUAAACAAUUAUCUUAUGCGCCCAACUAUCCCAAAAGAACUCAGUUCAAUGCCCCACAAUUUGCUGAUCUUUCGAAAGUUAAGGUAGUUUUGUUGUCCCUUUAUUGA